rnacentral:sRNA from 1 species
CGCUUUUGAUCAGAACCUGUCUCCUAUAUGCAUAUCUAUCAGAAUUAAAUAGGUGGUCAAAAACUGUCGACAAACUAAUGUAUGGGCCUGGUCGUAAAGUGCAGUCUAAAUUUCCAUUGUAGGGACCGUACAACUCUCGUCCUUGCCACCCAGUCCGUAACAAUGCAAGAUAACUGCCACCAUUAACAGUCUACGAUUUCAGUCUGUAAGCAGAAUUAAAUUGAGUGCAUUCAACAACAACACAACAGAAAACGAAACGAAACGAAACCAAAAGUAAAUGCGAAAUACUACAAAAAUCUGUUACAAGUUCGAAUAAACCCGCAGCAAAGAUACUCCGAAAAUGAGGCGCACUCUUUGGCACAUGCUCACGGCCCAGCUCCUGCUCCUGGUACUCUGUUCGCUGCUCUCUCUCUGCUCCGGCGGCAAUAUGCAUCCUUUGAAAGUGGGCAAAAACUAUGCGUCGCUGCACAACCAGCCCAAGGACUUUCGCUCUUUAGUGAUGGAUAUUAGCAAGUUUGUUCUCACUAUUGUGAGCAGAACGCGUUGAGUCACGUUUUUUUUUGUUUAUUGUUAAUUUUUUUUGAGCACGUAUUCCUUAUUUAUAGAAAGCAAAAGCUUUUUCCUCCAUCUAAUCUGUCCAAAGAUCUGACUAGUACCAUAUCUAUUACUAAGCUGGCGUCGAGAUUUGAAUUCCAAUCUGAGUCCUGCCCCCCAUUCAAUUCAGAGUUCCAAAAUUCUCCAUUAAAGACCGACAGAAAGGCCAGCGACCAGCAGAUCAGUGCAGAGACCGACAAUCAUUGCCAAAGCAACGCAAAGCCUGGCCUCGAACUGAAUUUACAAUAAAAAUUCUUAAUUCUUGGUACAAAAAUUUCUGUAUUUAGCUGAUGAAAAUAAUUU